rfam:Pseudomassariella vexata strain CBS 129021 BCR38scaffold_10, whole genome shotgun sequence.
GUCACUUUGGUGGAGUGGUUAACACGUUGCCCUGCUAUGCCCAUUGUGGAUGUGUGUUGUUAGGCAAUGCCUUCGGGCGCGUAGGUUCGAAUCCUGCAGGUGACG